GUGACCAACCAGCCUGGCAGGCAGCAGUUACCUCUCAACUGAUGGCUGAAUAGGAGGUAUCUCCAUCACCAUGAGCUUCGGGUCUGGCGGGUUCUGAGGCUCCUAAGAACAGAGCAUCACCCGUCUUUCGCUGGAGAUCCAGUGCUCUGAAGCUCAGUCAACUGCUGGACAGAAAGGCGCUGAAAUCAGACUGCAGCAGGGGACCACCUGUCUGCGGAUCUGCCGCGGAGAGAGCUUGACCCAAAGCGCUGCUUGGAGAGGAUCCGGAGGGGAGCUCUGAGCCGCCACCGCCACCUUAGCAGCCGCGAGCCGCCAUCGCCUUGGGCUUCUACCGGUCGCCACUAUGGCCGAGGAAGAAUCUGCCUCCACCACGUCUUACACUGAAGAUGAUUUCUACUGUCCGAUAUGCCAAGAAGUCUUCAAAACGCCAGUUCGGGUCGCGGCCUGUAAGCAUGUUUUCUGCAGAAAAUGUUUCCUGAGUGCAAUGAAGGAGAGCCGGCUCCACUGCCCCCUGUGCCGUGGAAAUGUGACUAGAAGAGAAAGAGCUUGUCCAGUGAGGGCUGUAGACCUUGAAACCAUCAUGAGACAUUUUCCUGGUAAUUGCCGAUGCUGUUCCCAACGCGUUGAACUCUAUCGUAUGAGGCAGCACUACAAAACUUGCGAAAAGUACCAGGAUGAAUUUGGAGUUUCUACAUCUGUUUCAAGCUUCCAACAGUCUCCAAACUCCGUGGGCAACAGUAACAACGAGGCACCGGCCUCAGCGAAUGCCGAGGAGGUUUUACAAGAAGAGGAAGAGAACGCGAGCCCACCUGAUGAGCCCACCUUCGAUUGCCCUCUGUGUGAAGAAGUGACCAUGAGCAGACAACGUUUGCUGGAUCAUUGCAAUAGCAGCCACCGAGGUCGUGUAGUUUCAGUCACUUGCCCAAUUUGCCUAUCUCUUCCAUGGGGCGACCCGCCUCAACUCACCAGAAAUUUUGUUAGCCAUCUUAACCAGAGGCAUCAGUUUGAUUACGGAGAUUUCGUGAAUCUUCAGCUGGAUGAGGAAACCCAAUUUCAGAUUGCCAUCGAGGAGUCCUUCCACGUCAACAUCUAGAGGGACUGUACUCAUUUCUACAAUUGCUCCUAAGGGACAAUUUACACUAAAACAUCCCUUUAAUAACUUGAUGUUUUAAAUAAAAGUGAUCAGUCUGA